CCUGGCUCAGAUUGAACGCUGGCGGCAUGCCUUACACAUGCAAGUCGAACGGCAGCACGGGAGCAAUCCUGGUGGCGAGUGGCGAACGGGUGAGUAAUAUAUCGGAACGUGCCCAGUCUGGGGGGAUAACGUAGCGAAAGCUACGCUAAUACCGCAUACGAUCUAUGGAUGAAAGCGGGGGAUCGCAAGACCUCGCGCGAUUGGAGCGGCCGAUAUCAGAUUAGGUAGUUGGUGAGGUAAAAGGCUCACCAAGCCGACGAUCUGUAGCUGGUCUGAGAGGACGACCAGCCACACUGGGACUGAGACACGGCCCAGACUCCUACGGGAGGCAGCAGUGGGGAAUUUUGGACAAUGGGCGCAAGCCUGAUCCAGCAAUGCCGCGUGAGUGAUGAAGGCCUUCGGGUUGUAAAGCUCUUUUACUCGGGACGAUAAUGACGGUACCGAGAGAAUAAGCCCCGGCUAACUCCGUG
rnacentral:rRNA from 1 species